CAAUCCACUGACUCAAAUGUUAGUCUCUGGUAACACCCUCACAGACACACCCAGGAACAAUACUUUGCUUCCUUCAGUCUAAUUAAGCUGACACUCAAUAUUAACCAUCACAGUAAGCAUAUCAGAGACUAUAGGGUCUGCUGUUUGGGACAGGGUGUUCUGAAAGGACCUCUGGUAAGGUGACUUUUGAGCAUAGACCUGAAGAAAAUGGAGGAAUGAGCCCUGUACAUUGUCAGGGAAGAACUGCUCUGGCAGAGGAAAUACAGAUGGAAAGGGCCUGCACUGGAAAAGUGAUCGGCAUGUUAGAGGCACAGUGAGGAGGCCAACACAACCGGUGAGGAGUGAAUCAGGAGAAUAAUAGGGGAUGAAGUCACAGUAUUGGGACCCAGGUCAUAGAGAGCCCUGGAAGGCAUUUUAAGGACUUGGACUUUGAGGAAAAUGAGAAACCAUUGGCCAGUUUGGGGUACAUGGAUGAUAUUUAACCAGAAGAUUCUUUUUCCUCUCUAUCAAGUCAUCACUUUCCACAUUUUAUGGAAAGAAGUUUUAUCUUUUCUUGUUAAGCUAUUGGUGAAUUUUUAACUUUGGGGUUUUGUUUCGGAUAGGUAUUGGGAGAAGGAGAGGCUGUCAACCCAUGCCACUAUGCUAUCUCUAAUUCUGCCAUCCAGACCGAGCAAACGUACUUAAGACCUUUGUGUAAGAUCAGAAAAUCAUAAGACAGCAUUAAAAAGUACUAUACAGGAGGAGAUGGAACAAGAUGGCCAAAUAGAAGCCUCCAGCAAUCAUCUCCCCGAAAGGAAUUGAACAACUAUCAAAACAAAAUUGAACAACUAUCUAAACAAAAAAGUACCUUCAUAAAAAACAAAAAUCAGGACAAUAUCAGAACGGCACAUACAAGUGUCCCCAAGUCAUAUUUGGAAUAAGAUCACUUGGGAACACAAGUCAAAGAAGGACACAGUGUUCUGCCUCUCCUGAGUAAGCAGCAACAACGCACCAUCUUGGAAUCAGGGGACGGCCCUCACCAGACAACUAAAUCUGCAGACACCUUGGACUUCCCAGCCUCCAGAACUGUCUUUCUGGCAACUGUCUAAACAUAAACCAGAGAAGGGCAAGGCAGACUCAGGAAGGACAAAUAGAAGGCUAUUUUCAUAAAUCGGACCACCACCACAUGUGCAGCAUCCCUCUGGGUCUCUUCCAUGACAACCCUGUGGGAAGCCAGGCAAGUGAGAAUCAAUGUAAACAUGAAGUUCAUGCUGCUUACUGUGUCGUGAUAAUGUCCUUGUCUCCCAAUCAGGAGCCUCAUGUCUUCUUGCCAGCCUCUGUGGAACUGUGCUUGGCAGGUCACCUUGUUCUAGCAGAUAGAAACUGAAUCAAUAUGGGAAGAGCCAGAAUUUGGACAAGGUUCACCAAACAUUCACACUGAUGCCAGGUGGGCCAAGAAAAAGGGAAUGUCCUGCCUCUGAGGUAUCUAAAAAUUUUUAUGUUUAAGUCAAGGGUUUUGUGUUGUGAAGGCAGAGCUUUGAAUUUCUAAUAGAAGAAGAAAAGCAGAAUAUACCCAGAAACUCCUGAUUAAAUUUAUGGUCCUCUAAUAAUAUUUUAACUUUAAAGGAGUCAGACGGCAUUCUAGAAAAGAGCCCUUUGGUCAAUGCUUUCCUAUCUAUAGUUUAAUCAACCCUUCCAUAUAUGCACAUAUUAAGCAAAUUCAAAUGACAUUAAAAAUAAGUUACAUUUCUUAUUCUAACCCCUGCCAUUCAUCCCGCUUUCCCCCCAUUGUCACACAUAUGCCCACUUCCACUUCUGCACAUAGGAAGAAAGGGUGAAUAAAUGUCAGAAUCAAGUGGAAAGAUUAAUCAUAGGCUGUUUUUUACAUUGUUUUAUUCUGAGUCAGAAUACGCUUUACAGGACAUAGGCAAGCACUUGAAAUAUAGGACUCAGAACAUAAGAUGCUUCGUAGGACCCAGGCAAGCACAGCAAUUAAAUGGAAUUCCACAUUUUUAAGGAAAGCUUUUUACUUUUCUUCCUCUUUUUGUUUCUCUUUACUUUUGCAGCUCCCUUCAAAAGUCCUUUCUGUGAGACACAUUUUUAACUACCAUAUUGUUCAAUUUUAACAAGAGUUCAGGGUGAGGAAGGUUAUAGCUGAGGCAUUUACAAGGAUUUCCUGUUUGUAGUGGCUGCUUUUUCCUCUUUGGUAAUGUGUUUUUCACAUUUUUUAAAAGCUGCCUGUAUGCAUUAAUAUUACUUAAUCUCCAUCACCUUAAGAAACCAUAUGGGGCAGGGAGAGGAAGACCGGUGCUGGCUCUUUCCCUUUCUCAAUGACUUGAGACACCUUAACCUUGCUUAACUUUUUCUAGAAAAUGAAGAUAGUAACACCUGCUCUGAAUUGUCACAGAAUUAUUGUAAGGCUCAAAUAAAAUCUAUGUAUUUAAGGAAUCAAUAUGUAAUAAAGAUCUUGAAGUGUUAGUAGUCGAUUAUAUCUGAGAUACAUUCGCCAAUAUCCAAGGGGGACAAAGAGAGCUCCAUACCCCGGGGGAAAUGUAGUCCACUGACAAUUUGUCCACACAAUUAGAAUACAAAAUAGCACCCUAUGCCUCAACUUUUUUACAGUCAAAGAAAGCAUGAGGCAUAAAUAGUCCUGAAGGGAUGUGGAGUCUGUUUGCUCUGCAUAUGAUUUGCAUAUGCUCCUCUGAAAAGUCACCGGGCAACCGAGUAAUUGUACAGUAAUGAUGUGGUUAAAAAAACAGAUUGAUCUACUUUUAUUAUUAUUGUUACAAAAUAAUACAUAUAUUUUUAAAAUUCAAACGAUACUAAAAGUUACAUUCCCUGUCCUACUCCCUGUCACUUAUACCAUUUCCCAGUUUCUGUUUUUAGUUCUGAUGGUUUCCUUUUUGCUCUCCACUGUGACUGAUAUACAUUUAUACUUCUAUUUUUUGAUGACUCAAGUUUCGAUAGUAUCUUCUCACUCCCAGUACAAGAUAUUCAGUACACAAAAGAUAUCCUUUUCUCUCCUGAGUUUCAUUUUACGUGUGUAUGAACACACAAACAUGCUAACACACAUGCUCACACAAUCUUUUAGCUCUUGUAUAGGUUCCUGAAUUAAUUGUUCAGUAGUAUACUAAGCCUCUACUUCUGGUUUCCAAUUUAGGCCCUGCAUGUUGUCCAACACUAGCCCAUCAGUGGGAUUGUUUUACAUUCAGGGCAGCUGCACUACUGCCUCCUUGGAGAACAGUGCCUCCUGGAGUUUAGCAGUGCACAGCCCUACAGAUUAAUGCAGGGGCCCUGAUCAUAUUUGUAUUUUGUUCCUGUAUAUGUUUAAUCAAUCUUUAGAAUCUCAUCUAUAGUUGGUUCAUUAUUGCUGGGAAACAAACGGCAUUUACAAAGUCAAAUUUUAGUAAUGUUAUUCAUUAUAUAAAUGAAUAGUAUCUUUCUCUCCAUAUCCUUUACAAAGUCUUCAAAAGUUUCUGAAAUUUCACUAGGAUAAGUUGGUGGAUCUUUUUCUCACCCAUUCAGUACUUUGUGGGCUUUUUCAAAUGGCAGAUUUGUGUCUUUUUUAAAACUCUGAAUAAUUUUCUUCUAUUACAGCUUUGAUAAUUUUCAUCCCUCUGUUUUCCCUACUCACUCUUUCUAGAACUUCUUUUUCCAUUUUUUAGUGAUAAAAUACACAUACAUAAAUACUAUCUUAACCAUUUCUAAGUAUGCAAUUCAGUGGUACUAAAUACAUUCAUAAUGUUAUGCCACAUAACCACCAUCCAUCUCCAUAACUCUUUUCAACUUGUAAAACUGAAACUCUAUACCCAUUAAGCAAUAACUCCUCAUUCCUCCUCCCCCAAACUCCUGGAAACAACUAUUCUACUUUCUGUGUUUAUGAUUUUGAAUACUCUAAGUACUUCAUGUAAAAGGAAUCAUGCAGCAUUUGUGUUUUUGUAAUUGGCUUAUUUCACUUAGCAGGUCCUCAGGGUUCAUCAGUGUUUUAGCAUGAAUCAGAAUUUCCUUCUUUUUAAGGCUGCAUAAUAGUCUACUGUAUGUAUACACCAUAGUUACUUAUCCACACAUCCACUGAUGGAUACUUGAGUUGCUUCCAUGGUUUAGCUACUGUGGAUAAUGCUGCUAUGGUCAUGAGUGUACAAAUAUCUCUUAGGGUUCUAUCAAUUAUUUUGGGUAUAUACUCAGAAGUGGAAUUGCUGAAUCAUAUAAUGAUUCUAUUUUUAAUUUUUUUAGGAAUGGCCAUACUGUUGUCCACAGUGGCUGUAUCACAUAAAUUCCCAUUAAUGGUGCAAAGGUUUCAGUUUCUCCACAUCCUCACCAACAUUUGUUAUUUUCUGUUUUGUCUUGUUGAUAUUUGUCAUUCUAAUGAGCGUGAGGCGUUAUCUCAUGGUAGUUUUAAUUUGCACUUCCCUAAUGAUUAGUGAUGCUAAGCAUCUGUUCACGUACUUAUUGUCCAUUUGUAUAUCUUGUUUGGAGAAAUGUCUAUUCAAGUACUCUGCUCAUUUUUGAAUCAGGUUGUUUGCUUUUUUUGUUGUAAGUUACAGAAGUUUCUAUAUAUUCUAAAUAUUAUAUUCUGAUAAGGGUAUCAGAUAUAUGACUUGAGAAUAUUUCCUCCCAUUCUGUGGUUCACAUUUUUACUCCAUUGCUAGUGUCUUUUGAUGUAUAAAAUUAAUUUUAAUGAGGUCAAUUUGUCUAUUAUUUCCUUUGCUGUCUGUGCCUUUGGUGUCAAGUCCAAGAAGUCAUUGCCAAGUCCAAUGUCAUAAAGCUUUUGCUCUAUGUUUUCUUCUGAGAGUUUUAUUAGUUUAGAUCUUACAUUUAGGUCUUUGAUGCAUUUGCAGUUAAUUUUUGUAUAUAGUGUUGGGUAAGGGCCCAACUUCAUUCUUUUGCAUGGGAAAAUCCAGUUUUCUAAGCACCAUUGUUGAAAAGAGUAUUCUUUCUACAUUGAAUAGUCUUAGCACCUUGUCAAAAAUCACUUGAUCAUAUGUGUUAGGGUUUAUUUCUGGGCUCUGUAUUCUAUUCCAUUAGCCUGUAUGUCUGUCUUUUUACCAGUGCCACGCUGUAUUGAUUUUUGUAGCUUUGUUGUAAGUUUUCCAAUAGAAAACUGUGAUUUUUCCAGCUUUGUUCUUCUUCAAGAUUGUUUUGUCUAUUUGAGGUCCCUUCAGAAUUCCAUUUGAAUUUUUGGAUGAGUUUUUCUAUUUAUGAAAAAAAAAAUCAUUGGAAUUUUGAAAAACAUUGCACUGAAUUUUUACAUUACUUUGGAGAGCAUUGACAUCUUAACAAUAUGAAGUUUUCCAAUCUAUCCAUGAAGAUGGGAUGUGUUUUCAUGUAUUUAUGUAUUCUUUCUUUCAGCAACAUUUUAUAGUUUAGGCUGGGUGUGGUGGCUCACACCUCU
rnacentral:lncRNA from 1 species